rnacentral:rRNA from 1 species
AAUAUUGGACAAUGGGGGGAACCCUGAUCCAGCCAUGCCGCGUGUGUGAAGAAGGUCUUCGGAUUGUAAAGCACUUUAUGUUGGGAGGAGGAGAUGUAGGCUAAUACCUUGCAAUUUGGACGUUACCAACAGAAUAAGAACCGCCUAACUUCGUGCCAGCAGCAGCGGUAAUACGAAGGGUGCAAGCGUUAAUCGGAAUUACUUGGCGUAAAGCGCGCGUAGGUGGUUCGUUAAGUUGGAAGUGAAAGCCCCGGACUUAACCUGGGAAUUGCUUUCAAAACUGACGAGCUAGAGUACGGUAGAGGGUAGUGGAAUUUCCUGUGUAGCGGUGAAAUGCGUAGAUAUAGGAAGGAACAUCAGUGGCGAAGGCGACUACCUGGACUGAUACUGACACUGAGGUGCGAAAGCGUGGGGAGCAAACAGG